UGUCGUCUUUUAACACCUGGUAGACGCCACCCGUGUCUCUCUUGCGUAUAUAUAGAGCUAGCACGCCUCCUACGUUUCAAUUUUGCUUAGAAACGCUCGCUCUCUUCUGCGGAAGUUUCCCCAGAGUCUCCAGCGACAGCAACCUCCGGUUUUAGUAUUCUGUGGUGGCUUCUUAACUUCAAAAAUGCCUAAAGUUAGAAGAGAUAGUUCCUUGUCUCUUGAUCGAUCUAGGGCAUCUCCUUAUCCGUGCACCUCUGAUGAUUCUGAUGCUUACAAUCUGAAAAAUCCUUUGGAAAGCGAAGAUAACGCAAAAGAGUGGGAAGAAGCUAGGUGCCCCAUCUGCAUGGAA